AUUGAACGCUGGCGGCAGGCCUAACACAUGCAAGUCGAACGAGUGGCGGACGGGUGAGUAAUGUCUGGGAAUCUGUCUGCUGGAGGGGGAUAACUACUGGCAACGGGAGCUAAUACCGCAUACUACAAUAUCUGCGCAGGUGGGUUUAGCUAGAAGGUGGGGUAACGGCUCACCUAGGCGACGAUACCUAGCUGGUCUGAGAGGUUGACCGGCCACACUGGAACUGAGACACGGUCCAGACUCCUACGGGAGGCAGCAGUGGGGAAUAUUGCACAAUGGGCGCAAGCCUGAUGCAGCCAUGCCGCGUGUGUGAAGAAGGCCUUCGGGUUGUAAAGCACUGUCAGCAGGGAAGCGUUACCCAAACAAGAAGCACCGGCUAACUCCGUGCCAGCAGCCGCGGUAAUAC
rnacentral:rRNA from 1 species